rnacentral:misc_RNA from 1 species
GAAAUGCGAUAAGUAGUGUGAAUUGCAGAAUUCAGUGAAUCAUCGAAUCUUUGAACGCACAUUGCGCCCCUCGGUAUUCCGUGGGGCAUGCCUGUUCGAGCGUCAUCUACACCCUCAAGCUCUGCUUGGUGUUGGGCGUCUGUCCCGCCUCCGCGCGCGGACUCGCCCCAAAUGCAUUGGCAGCGGUUCCUUGCCCCCCUCUUUGCGCAGCACAUUGCCAUUCGAGGCGGUGGCGGCCCGCGUCCAACAAGCUCAACCCCCCCGUCUUUGACCUCGGAUCAGGUAGGGAUACCCGCUGAACUUAAGC